CAUAGGUUAACGAGGCGAACCGGGGGAACUGAAACAUCUAAGUACCCCGAGGAAAAGAAAUCAACCGAGAUUCCCCCAGUAGCGGCGAGCGAACGGGGAGCAGCCCAGAGUCUGAAUCAGCUUGUGUGUUAGUGGAAGCGUCUGGAAAGUCGCACGGUACAGGGUGACAGUCCCGUACACGAAAGCACACAGGUUGUGAACUCGAAGAGUAGGGCGGGACACGUGGUAUCCUGUCUGAAUAUGGGGGGACCAUCCUCCAAGGCUAAAUACUCCUGACUGACCGAUAGUGAACCAGUACCGUGAGGGAAAGGCGAAAAGAACCCCGGCGAGGGGAGUGAAAAAGAACCUGAAACCGUGUACGUACAAGCAGUGGGAGCACCUUCGUGGUGUGACUGCGUACCUUUUGUAUAAUGGGUCAGCGACUUAUAUUCUGUAGCAAGGUUAACCGUAUAGGGGAGCCGAAGGGAAACCGAGUCUUAACUGGGCGUUAAGUUGCAGGGUAUAGACCCGAAACCCGGUGAUCUAGCCAUGGGCAGGUUGAAGGUUGGGUAACACUAACUGGAGGACCGAACCGACUAAUGUUGAAAAAUUAGCGGAUGACUUGUGGCUGGGGGUGAAAGGCCAAUCAAACCGGGAGAUAGCUGGUUCUCCCCGAAAGCUAUUUAGGUAGCGCCUCGUGAACUCAUCUUCGGGGGUAGAGCACUGUUUCGGCUAGGGGGCCAUCCCGGCUUACCAACCCGAUGCAAACUACGAAUACCGAAGAAUGUUAUCACGGGAGACACACGGCGGGUGCUAACGUCCGUCGUGAAGAGGGAAACAACCCAGACCGCCAGCUAAGGUCCCAAAGUCAUGGUUAAGUGGGAAACGAUGUGGGAAGGCACAGACAGCCAGGAUGUUGGCUUAGAAGCAGCCAUCAUUUAAAGAAAGCGUAAUAGCUCACUGGUCGAGUCGGCCUGCGCGGAAGAUGUAACGGGGCUAAACCAUGCACCGAAGCUGCGGCAGCGACACUAUGUGUUGUUGGGUAGGGGAGCGUUCUGUAAGCCGUUGAAGGUGUGCUGUGAGGCAUGCUGGAGGUAUCAGAAGUGCGAAUGCUGACAUAAGUAACGAUAAAGCGGGUGAAAAGCCCGCUCGCCGGAAGACCAAGGGUUCCUGUCCAACGUUAAUCGGGGCAGGGUGAGUCGACCCCUAAGGCGAGGCCGAAAGGCGUAGUCGAUGGGAAACAGGUUAAUAUUCCUGUACUUGGUGUUACUGCGAAGGGGGGACGGAGAAGGCUAUGUUAGCCGGGCGACGGUUGUCCCGGUUUAAGCAUGUAGGCGGAACG
rnacentral:rRNA from 1 species